AUUAACUUGUGAGAUAGAUUACCGGCAAGGAUCCCAAUGUUGCAGUCAACCCGAGGUUGUUUCUUGGGGCUGCCAUACCGGUCACAUUUUUCAACCCAAAUCUGUUGUAUUCUGUCAUUUGAAAGAGGACAAUCUCAAGACCUUAAUUACUUACGGUAGUAGUAUUUUGCACAUGUUUCCUCCAGCACUUAUAAAAUAGUUGAGGUCAAUUUGGCUGUAUGAAAAUUAGCUCCCAAAGCAUAUAAGUCAAGAUGCAAGACCACAAUUAACUUAAUCAACAUCUAGAACACCUAAUAUAGUUUUUCUGUUCCCUUGAAACACCAUGGUGGUGUUUUGACUUGAGAUGUGAAGGAUGUUGUACUUCUCGAUGUUACUCCAUUGUCUAUUGGUUUGGAAACAUUGGGUGGAGUGAUGACAAAGAUUAUCCCCAGGAAUACAACAUUCCCACCUCAAAAUCAGAGGUAUUCUCCAAGGCUGCUGAUGGACAGACAAGUGUUGAGAUCGAUUGUCUCCAGGGAGAAAGAGAGUUUAUCAUGACAUGGCUUGUGUCAAGACAGAUCUCAGGCUGGAGGAGAUGGUCCACUUCUGCAAGGUAAGGUGUCUUGGCUCAAAUGUUGACGGCGACUAGAAUCGUGCAAAAAAAUAUCAAGGAGACCCCAAACAGAGCUUUGGUGAUAUUGUAUUUAUGAUCUACUUGUAUCAAUGGAGCACCUAACUGGCCUGGUAUGGUGUCACCACCGACCGUAUCUACUACGGUAGCUGGCAGGCACAUCAGGUGGCGGAUGGCCGAGACGUCAGCCGAGCCUUGUUCUUGGAGCGAUCGGCGGAUUGCUGUGGUGUUGGUGGAAGGGGGAGUCAGUAAGAUGUAUUUUUAAUUUCUGGCUGGCAUGAAAGACCCAAGAAGCACAGGGCCGAGCCAGUAAUCCGCUUGAUCUUGUCAUACUUGAUGUGAUUCCCCCUGCAGUUUGAAGAAUGGGCAGAGCGGCUAGUGUCUUGCUACCUUUGUCUGCAUGAAGAGGGACACAUGCUACUGGUGACUCUUGGAAGACAAGGGACACUGUUCGCGCUACAAUAAAAGAGAAUCCUGGUGACCCACUGGGAGCGUUGUGUGCGGCCUGAGAUGAAGACCCUUGCACUCAGGGUCUACGGAGAGAGAUGUUGUUGCUGAUGACAAUGAAUAGGCCCCCUUGUGGACUGGCAAUGUGGUGUGUUGAUGGCGGUGCUGAUGUUCAUGGGCUUGCCGAGGCCUCCCGCGCUCCUCAUGUGGCUGUAGGCUUGGGUGGCCCUUGGCUUCGACAACCUCCUAGGCGUGGUGGCCGUGACGCUCAGCCUACAAGCUUUCUGGAGUCCGAUAUGUGAAGGACGGGCGAGGCGAUAACCUUGUUUGACUGGUGGUAGACGGACACGGCGCUGGAGUGGUACACGGAGCUGCAAGCAGGUCGCCGUGGCGCUCAUCUAGGAGGUAGCGAGGUGGAGCAUACUGCCCUUAUUCAACAGCAGCAGCAAGGGGAAAACUAGAGCUGGUAGCUGGCCAGGAGGGAGGAGACCUAGAUCCGACAUGAUUUUCUUACAUGAGUCGAUGUGCUUGAUAACCUGGGGACGAUAUGGUGCCUUUUGUGAUUUGGACAGUUUAGAUAUGUUGGUUAGCACUUGAGGUUAUUUGCAAUUGCAAGUAUAUCAAGCUGCUAGUUUGUGUGUUGUUCGUCAUAGCUAAGCACCGGAUGGCACCUAGAGCUUUGCUGUAUCUAGCUGAUGUAGUAGUGUUAGCACAUCAGUCACGGGAUCGUAUGAAGCAUGGUAGUGUUUGAAUUUAUUUGUACUGUCUAUGCAG